GGUGAGGUCCUUGAAGAUUUCCCGCCAGGACAGAUGCUGGGACCGCAGCAUCACCCGAGUGACUUCAAAGCUGAGCCGUCUGUCCCCCUAGAAGCGGCCGCAACUGCUGACCUCACGCUUCUUUGACUUUGUGUGCCUGGGUUUUAGAGCAUGCUCCCAAAGAUGUUGAGUUCAAUACCCUAUGAGGGAACCGUGUUAUACCUGAUACCGGAUGUCGAAUUCGCUCGGAAGCGCCAAAACUCAAUAUGUUGGAAAAACCGAAGAUGCUUUCAGCAGCCAGGCCCUAAGCAUUUCAUCCUGGUGGUUCUACCGGAAAGAGCGACUCAGCAUCUCUCUGGGGGCCUUUUUGUUCAGAGGGAAUGGAAGAAGCAGAGCCUCUGGAAGCGACAUGUGACCUGUGUUCCGGAAUUUGCUGGGCCCCCUCCCUGGUUUGGCACUGAGAUCCCAUACUCAGGUGAACUGGGAGUGAACGCGACAGCUGAUUUACAGUGGGAGAGCAUAACCCGAGGGAAGGAGGGGCAGCGAGAAGAUUCGGAUCUGCCCGCUGUGCAGGAAGUGCUAUUCAGGCUGACGGUGGACGUGUCACGUAGAGCACGGACAGGGUUAAUUCGCAGUUUGAAAAUGCAUCUGCCUGACCUUGCAAACUUGUUGUGUCCUACGUCAGGGUGAUAGCCACUUGGAGUGACAUAGACCCAUUUCAGAAUCAGAACAGCUGGUUCUUCCCGUUUAUUAUGAUGGGUAGGUAUCUCAGCGUGGAUGGGUGCAUACAGAUAGAUACUUGCUCAUAUUUUUAUAAAAUUUUGUUUUAAAAACUUCCGUGAAGAACCAGACGUUGGUCAUGGGAAUGUGGGGUCUUCAAAUGUUGGCCAAAUGGAAAUUACUAAUCACAGCUUCUUAUCUAAGUGAAACGGGUAUUAGACUUCUUAGUGCUAUUUUCCAACAACGCAUCUUUUUUCUUUUUCUUACAUAUUUUUAAUUUUUUUGAGGUGUAACUUACAGUAAAAUUCCUGCUUUUGAGUGUCCAAUUCUACACGUUUUGACAAAUGAAUGGUCGUGUAGCCAUCCCCACAAUCAAGACACAGAGCGUCUCCAUCAUCCCCCAAAUCUCAUUGCCAUUCUUUGUAGCCAGCACUGCCACCCUGCUCCUGGCCCCUAGCAACCACUGACGUCUUUAGGUCCCCGUGGUUGUCAUUUCCAGAGGGUCCUACAGAUGGAACCACACUCUACAUACGUAUGGAUCUGAGUCUGGCUUCUUUCAUUCAACGUAAUGACUUUGAGACUCAUUCCUGCUGUUUCAUAGAUCACUUGUUCAUUUCUUUUCAUCGUAAAGUAAUAUUCCAUUGUACGGAUAUUCCACAAUUUGUUUUUCUGUCUUCCCAUUCA
rnacentral:lncRNA from 1 species